CCACUUUAAGAAAAAAUGCCCGAACUACCACUUUUCAUCUAAUUUUUGGCAAAAAACUACCAAGCCAGAGAAGUGGUCGAUUGAGCUCGUUUAAGCUGGAUUAUGACAGAUUGCAAAUGAGGUCCACACGUCAACCUUCUUCUUCCAUCUCUUUCUAUUCUCCCAUCUUGUUCAUGACAUCAAACAUGUCAGCUCUAGCAAGUGGCCGACAAUGCUGACAUAACCAUGUAUCUUCUGGAAUGCAUUAUUGACAGGAAUUCUUCUUGGCACUCUAGAGAACUAUCCUCUCAUUACAUUUACUAAAUAUUCAACCUGAUUAAAAGGCUAACCAAUUUCAACGUGAAAGGUGGAACCAUGAGCCAUUAUUCUACAACUACAAUGAAGAUUACGAAAGACAUUAUUUAUAAUUAAUUGCACUAGUGAUUAAACAUAUUUAUUUUUUAAGUGCGCUCCCACUCAAAUUAAUAGCUCUCAUAAUUGAUUUUGAGUGAUUCAAGACCCUCAUCUUAUUUACAGCCAUUGAUAUGUGCAUCACUGAUGACAUAAACUUCAACCGGUAGGCCAACUCGCCGAUCAUAUUUUCAUAUGACUCUUGUUCAUUUUUUGAUGCUUUGUAUUUCGAGCUCAGGACUAUCCUGCUAGAACUUUAAGACAACCGUGGGUUCCUGCUGUGAGGUCCGACCUUCAUUCACCCACCUUACACCUUAAGAUUCGUUCGUACUCAUGUGUACAUGUCGUAUCUCGAAAAGCUACGUGUUGUAGACGAUGCUACACUAGGAAGAUCACUAACAAUUUGAUAUUUUAGUGAGAGAUAACCAUAAUAAAACACAACCACCUUGCAAUCAAAAGGGUGCAAUGAUAAAGGGAUAAACAUUUGAGGCAAUUUAAAAUAGCAUGAUAUGGUAUAGCCCCUCGCGCUGUGAAGUAUUCAUUGUCCUCAUGAACUUUCAUCCAAAAAACGUUGUCGUGUCAGUAGAAAAGUCGUUGUCGUGUCAGUCGGUUUAAAAACAUAGCAGUGAUAGCAAUUCCAAAAAUCGUUGUCGUGGCACCAAAAUUUCAGCCGUCCUCCUUGCACUGUACGCGUCGGAGUCCUCCGUGCAAGCUUGCCACCAACGAUAGUAACAUGUAUGCUCUCUCUGUAACUAUUCUAUUACGUUAAGUUUUGACAUGCAGGUCACUAAAGUGAUAAUCCAGUGGCUCCAGCCAUCACGCCGUACUGUGACGCACAUGUCACUUAAACAUUAUAUCACAUAACCAUCUCAUACAUAAACUCAUUAUCCGGACGGAAGCUAUACCACUUCACACGCAUCCUGCAAAAUCAAAUUAGAUGUCCUCUAAUUGAUUUGGCAAAUUUUAGUUUACGUGGCUUCUAGGGUUUUAGAUAACACUAGCCACCUAUGUCUUAUUGCUAGAUUAACUUUGCGGAGUAUUUGUGGGACGAGACUUAGUUAAAAAUCUCUAUCCCCACACUAAUCUUUGUCAAUACGCGUGAUCCCGUGCAGAUCAUCAUCUACAUGCCACCUCGUGUUUGCGAGAAUUCACUAUUCUUGACUAUGAGGUUGUCCAAAUAACUGGUAGCAAAUCGUUGACAGCCAAAGUCAAUCGAUUGUCAGAACUUUGUAGAAAGCUAUAUCAUGCCUCUAAUGAACGAAGCCGAAGUAACACUUGAGGGAAGAAAACAAGAACAUCAAGUAAAAGAUUGUGUCUAAGAUAAUAGAUUUAUCUUCUACUCGCACAAUUUUAUUAAGCUCUAUAACUCAUCUAGUUCCUAAUUCUUUUUAGCAAUAAAUGAAAUUCAUCACUAAAAACUUUGUGCAAUACCCUCAUAAUCACAUGUGAUCUAGAUUGUAACCUGCAUGUACUCAUAGAAUUGCUCAUGAUGUCACUGUUUUGAACUACAGUAGAAAACAAAAGAAAAAUAGCCCUACGAUCAAGGUCCCGGAUCACUAUGAAGAUGCAUAUAAGGUUAGAUCGGAUCUUUACCAACUUCGAGAUGCAGAGGAAGAAGAGUUGGUGUAGGUUGUUCUUGAUGUCCCUUGAACAGUCCACAACAACCACUCGAACAAAAGAUCAAAAGCACAACCUCUCUAUAGAUUGCAAGCAUGCAGACUUCACGAUCCGGAAGUAUUUCACCGUCCAGAACUAAUCGUCGCUGGAGAAUUAGAGGGAGAAGAAGAGAACCACACAGUGAUACUCUAUUAUGAGGAUUAGAGAGAACUAGGUUUAGCUCUAAUCUAGAUCAACCUUAAAUUAGAACUAGAACUAGAGAAUUUCAGGAGGCUCCAAAACUUGUAUCUCCAAAGGCCAAAAUCCUCUAAUAUAUAUAGGUUGAAGGGAGAGGAAGGGGGUGGCUGACUUGGCUUGCGCAGGCCUAGGGGGUAGUGGAGUCCAACUCCACAUCCUAGUCCGACCUCCCUCUCGGGUGCCUCCACUAAUGGGCCUUAAUCCCAUUAACUCUACCCCUAAUAAUCAUUUUUCUUAUUUUCUUUAGCC
rnacentral:lncRNA from 1 species